UACGAAGGGGGCUAGCGUUGCUCGGAAUCACUGGGCGUAAAGGGUGCGUAGGCGGGUCUUUAAGUCAGGGGUGAAAUCCUGGAGCUCAACUCCAGAACUGCCUUUGAUACUGGCGAGCUUGAGUCCGGGAGAGGUGAGUGGAACUGCGAGUGUAGAGGUGAAAUUCGUAGAUAUUCGCAAGAACACCAGUGGCGAAGGCGGCUCACUGGCCCGGUACUGACGCUGAGGUGCGAA
rnacentral:rRNA from 1 species